UUCGGGGUGGAUUAGUGGCGAACGGGUGAGUAACACGUGGGCAAUCUGCCCUUCACUCUGGGACAAGCCCUGGAAACGGGGUCUAAUACCGGAUAACACUCUGUCCCUCAUGGGGCGGGGUUAAAAGCUCCGGCGGUGAAGGAUGAGCCCGCGGCCUAUCAGCUUGUUGGUGGGGUAAUGGCCUACCAAGGCGACGACGGGUAGCCGGCCUGAGAGGGCGACCGGCCACACUGGGACUGAGACACGGCCCAGACUCCUACGGGAGGCAGCAGUGGGGAAUAUUGCACAAUGGGCGAAAGCCUGAUGCAGCGACGCCGCGUGAGGGAUGACGGCCUUCGGGUUGUAAACCUCUUUCAGCAGGGAAGAAGCGAAAGUGACGGUACCUGCAGAAGAAGCGCCGGCUAACUACGUGCCAGCAGCCGCGGUAAUACGUAGGGCGCAAGCGUUGUCCGGAAUUAUUGGGCGUAAAGAGCUCGUAGGCGGCUUGUCACGUCGGAUGUGAAAGCUCGGGGCUUAACCCCGAGUCUGCAUUCGAUACGGGCUAGCUAGAGUGUGGUAGGGGAGAUCGGAAUUCCUGGUGUAGCGGUGAAAUGCGCAGAUAUCAGGAGG
rnacentral:rRNA from 1 species